GCAUCAGCAGGUCAGGCAGCUUUAGAAAGUUUCCAGGAAUGUGUCAGUGUUUUGGACGAAUCAAUUCAGCGUCAUGAUAUGGUAGAUGAAAGUACAAACAUUUCCUUUAGAUCAUCCAUUCUCAAAGUGUGACAGUAAUGACAUGAAUAUAUAUACAUUUAUUAUUUAACAAGUGUGUACAUAAGGACUCAUAAAUCAUUAAAAUUAGUUCAAAU
rnacentral:lncRNA from 1 species